CCAAGGGUAUAAUAGCAAGCAUUUAUUGAACGAUUACUAUUACAUGUAUUGAAUCAAGCAACACUCCAAGGCAGCUGCUAUUUACUGAAGAAUACAAGUGUAUUCUUUGGUUUGUGGCCCUUUCCUCUGUCUUUAGGAAGCCAAUAGCAUAGCGUCUUCUGUCUCCAACUCUGCUUUCCUCUCUGCUUCUGUCAUCAGGGGGCUGCAUCCUGCUUUUCUCUUAGAAGGACUCUUGUGAUUACAUCAAGCCUACUCUGAUAAUCCAGGAUAAUCUCCCAAUCUCAAGAGCCUUAAUUUAAUCACAUCUACAAAGUCUCUUUUGCCAUAUAAUAAAACAUGGACAGGUUCCAGGGAUUAGAAUGUGGACAUCCUGGGGGGCCAUUAUUCAGCCUGCAACAGAGGGUGACUUUAUUUUCACAAGCAUGUAAGGAAAACUCUGAGCUGAGACUGCAGUUUCUCUACUUCUUCCUUACAUCAUCUGUGUAACUCGGCUCAUGCUGCUCUAGAAGAGACCAUCUCCCCUGCUCCAUCAUAUCUGCAGCCCUGGCUGCUGCAGGGAAAGGCACUGCCUUUCUUCUCCAGGUGUCUUUUGUUCUUCUUCCGCCCUGGCCCCUUGCUGCCAUGCAGGACUCUGCUGGGAGUGACGUGGGUCUCUUUCCCUGAGAGAGCUGAAGAUCUGCAAGGAGACCUUCUCCCUGCCUUUUGCUUCGCAUUUUGAAGGGAGGGAGGAGACUAGCAUUGACGAGACACAUUUAAUAACAUACAAAGCUAAUUUAGUGCCUCAUAAAGAAUAAGGAUAAAUGGAUCCCUAUGCCCUCAAACCAAAAACAAUCUUUAUUUUCACAUAGUUGAAUUAAGUAUUUCUGGGGCCAGUGUGGGGGAAAGAUGGUAUGGAAUGGGAGAAUCCAUCCUUCCUGCAAGAGGAGAAAGCCAGGGACUACUCUGUCUAUAUUUUUACAAGGAAAUUCUUCCUUUGUUUCUAGUAAACAAACUCAGAGGCACUGAUGUUGGGCUGGAACAAGGACUUUCUGGUGGGGAGGGCAGCUGGACUGCAUAGACUUGAGGUUCCAUUUUUGAGGUUCACCUUGCCUUGGGGUCUGUCCUUGGUUACCACCACUGAUGUCUACCAUGCUGGACUUUGGAGAACUUUGCUUCCACUUCAGCACACCUUGGUACCUUCAGUCAAGCUUUUAUUAAAGAACCUUAAGGUAGAGCCAGGCUGUGGUGAGAUUAGGAAAUCUUCCCGGUCAUGUUGUUCAUCUUUUCACCUACUCUCCCCCUAGCUACAAUCUUCUUUUCUUUCUUUCUCUUUCUUUCUUUC
rnacentral:lncRNA from 1 species